ensembl:processed_transcript
CCGAUGUGUUACACCACGAGGACAUUCAUCUUUGCAAUUGGUGAAGUCCUUCUACCUAGUUCCCCUUCCUUGUGCACAGAAGAGGACUGGAAAACUCCUCACAGGACUGCAUACUGCUAUCUCUGAGAAACCAGAAAGAAGAAAGUACCUCUUCCUUCCAAGCUUCUACCUAAGAGUAUACUGGAAGGUUUACCUAGAGCAACAAGACAACGAAAUGGAUUGUCCUUCUCACGCUAGUCCACACACAAUCCUCAUCAUUUUGAUAAGAUAGCAUGAAGUCUCUUAUCGCUUGUGGAUCCAGCACUUUGGUUCAGCGUUUCUAUUCCUGCACAAACAUCAUGACCAAGAAGCAAGUUGGAGAGGAAAGAGUUUAUUCAGCUUGCACUUUCAUACUGCUGUUCAUCACCAAGGAAGUCAGGACUGGAACUCAAGCAGGUUCAUCUGCCCAUAAUUCUCUAAGAUUUGGAGCUGUUGAGGAGUGGCUCAUAGUAGACACUGAACCAUCAGCCAACAGCAUUUGUUGUCCUGGAUGUCUGUGCCAACCUUUCGAGUCACACUGGGGUCUAAAGACACACCUGGAAUAAAAAUCAGAAUGCUUAAGAAACUUAAUAUGAUCUGCGGGAGAAUACAUGAGGUUUUUGUUUCAUACCACAGUCUGAUGACA